rnacentral:rRNA from 1 species
CACGUAGGGUGCGAGCGUUGUCCGGAAUUAUUGGGCGUAAGAGCUCGUAGGCGGUGUGUCGCGUCGGCCGUGAAAACCUGCAGCUUAACUGUGGGCUUGCGGUCGAUACGGGCAUCACUGGAGUUCGGCAGGGGAGACUGGAAUUCCUGGUGUAGCGGUGAAAUGCGCAGAUAUCAGGAGGAACACCGGUGGCGAAGGCGAGUCCCUGGACAACACCUGACACUGAGGCACGAAAGCUAGGGGAGCAAACAGG